CCUACGGGAGGCAGCAGUGAGGAAUAUUGGUCAAUGGACGAGAGUCUGAACCAGCCAAGUAGCGUGAAGGAUGACUGCCCUAUGGGUUGUAAACUUCUUUUAUAUGGGAAUAAAAUGUUCCACGUGUGGGAUUUUGUAUGUACCAUAUGAAUAAGGAUCGGCUAACUCCGUUCCAGCAGCCGCGGUAAUACGGAGGAUCCGAGCGUUAUCCGGAUUUAUUGGGUUUAAAGGGAGCGUAGGUGGAUUGUUAAGUCAGUUGUGAAAGUUUGCGGCUCAACCGUAAAAUUGCAGUUGAAACUGGCAGUCUUGAGUACAGUAGAGGUGGGCGGAAUUCGUGGUGUAGCGGUGAAAUGCUUAGAUAUCACGAAGAACUCCGAUUGCGAAGGCAGUUCACUGGACUGCAACUGACACUGAGGCUCGAAAGUGUGGGUAUCAAACAGGAGUAGAUACCCUAGUAGUC
rnacentral:rRNA from 1 species